rnacentral:rRNA from 1 species
CUACACUAUAAGACUGGGAUAACUUCGGGAAACCGGAGCUAAUACCGGAUAAUAUAUUGAACCGCAUGGUUCAAUAGUGAAAGACGGUUUUGCUGUCACUUAUAGAUGGAUCCGCGCCGCAUUAGCUAGUUGGUAAGGUAACGGCUUACCAAGGCAACGAUGCGUAGCCGACCUGAGAGGGUGAUCGGCCACACUGGAACUGAGACACGGUCUAGACUCCUACGGGAGGCAGCAGGA